AGAUGGCACCUGCUGUCACGGGGAACCAGGGAGCAGGGGGCUGCGGGGACCCCGGAAGAGAGAGGGGAAGGGCCGGAACAGGUGGGUGGAGACCGGAAGUGGAGUGGACCGGGCACCCCCGAGGGCCAGGAGCCAUCUAUUUAUGAAGGAGCCAGGUUCAGCCAGCUCCACAGGGCUGAGCAGGCCGGAAGUGGAAACCUGAGAGCAACACAACGGCUACGUACCCUGCCCACCAUAUGCUGCCCGCUGCUGGUCCCCCUGCAGCUUCUGACGCAGGUUCCAACAUGGCUUCUUAGAUUCAAGGGCCAUUUGCUGAUACCCAUGGUGAUGAGAGGGGAAGCUGGUUAUCUGUGGUGGCAUCAGAGAACCAGAGAGUGCCCAAGCCCUGAACUUGGACCAGUCGGUUCCUCAGUCACAACAAAGACCCAUACUGUACUCAUAUGCCUCCCUGGGGAGGGAAAUAUAGGGAUUGGGGGACCCUUGAGAGGAGAAAAAUGUCCACUGAACUUGACUGAAUAUUUAUUCAAAAGAAAAAUAAACCAACACAAGUGAAACUUUUUUUUAACAUUGAGACAC
rnacentral:lncRNA from 1 species